rnacentral:lncRNA from 10 species
GCACUCACUGAACUUCCUCCGUUCCGUCUAUUCUCAGGGCCCACCGGGCAGGACCACUGAGCAAGGCCUUGGAAAACCAGAGAGAUUAGAGCGGUUCGGAUCCUGUGUUCCGCACGGGGGCUCCACCAGGGCAGGGAUGGUGGAGAAUGGGGAAAUGGAGAGAGAACCUGAAAGAGCCCCAAACUCGAGGACCUAUUGCUCCCCAAGAAUAACAUCUUCCAGAAGAACUAGACAGAAAACUAGGCGUCUGGGAACUCUGAAAUCCUUGGAGGAGUAGCAUCAUCAUGACCCUCUGUGUUCCUUUUGGCAAAGGACUUGCUCCCAUUGUUUGCUUGUUCAAUUGUCUGUCCGUUAAAUAAAUAAAACCCUUUUCCUAUAUCUUUAAAAUUAC